GGAGCUAUAGCUCAAGUGGCAGAGCGCACACUUAGCAUGCACGUGGUCCUGGGUUCAGUCCCCAGUACCUCCU
rnacentral:tRNA from 1 species